AUUAAACGCUGGCGGCAUGCCUUACACAUGCAAGUCGAACGGUAGCGCGGGGCAACCUGGCGACGAGUGGCGAACGGGUGAGUAAAGCAUCGGAACGUGCCCUGGAAUGGGGGAUAACGUAGCGAAAGUUACGCUAAUACCGCAUAUUCUGUGAGCAGGAAAGCAGGGGAUCGCAAGACCUUGCGUUCUGGGAGCGGCCGAUGUCGGAUUAGCUAGUUGGUGGGGUAAAAGCCUACCAAGGCGACGAUCCGUAGCGGGUCUGAGAGGAUGAUCCGCCACACUGGGACUGAGACACGGCCCAGACUCCUACGGGAGGCAGCAGUGGGGAAUUUUGGACAAUGGGCGGAAGCCUGAUCCAGCCAUGCCGCGUGAGUGAAGAAGGCCUCGGUGUAAGACUCUUUCGGUUGGGGAAGGAAAGUUAGCACGGGUUAAUACCCUGUGUAGAUGACGGUACCCGA
rnacentral:rRNA from 1 species